AUUGAACGCUGGCGGAAUGCUUUACGCAUGCAAGUCGAACGGCAGCACGGACUUCGGUCUGGUGGCGAGUGGCGAACGGGUGAGUAAUGUAUCGGAACGUGCCCAGUCGUGGGGGAUAACGUAGUGAAAAUUACGCUAAUACCGCAUACGAUCUAUGGAUGAAAGCGGGGGAUCGCAAGACCUCGCGCGAUUGGAGCGGCCGAUAUCAGAUUAGGUAGUUGGUGGGGUAAAGGCCCACCAAGCCAACGAUCUGUAGCUGGUCUGAGAGGAAGACCAGCCACACUGGAACUGAGACACGGUCCAGACUCCUACGGGAGGCAGCAGUGGGGAAUUUUGGACAAUGGGCGAAAGCCUGAUCCAGCCAUUCCGCGUGCAGGAUGAAGGCCCUCGGGUUGUAAACUGCUUUUGUACAGAACGAAAAGGUUUCUACUAAUACUAGGAACUCAUGACGGUACUGUAAGAAUAAGCACCGGCUAACUACGUGCCAGCCGCCGCCGUAA
rnacentral:rRNA from 1 species